rnacentral:tRNA from 1 species
GAUGCCAACACUUGGGAAACCGGGUUUCCCGGACUGUCGAUCCGGUGGUUGCGGGUUCGAGCCCCGUCGGCCUCG